rfam:Triticum aestivum genome assembly, contig: Triticum_aestivum_CS42_TGACv1_scaffold_330362_4BS
AUCAUACUCCCUCCGUCCGGAAAUACUUGUCGAAAAAAUAAAUGUACCUAGACGUAUUUUAGUUAUAGAUAUAUUAAAUUUUAUCCAUCUCUCCGACAAGUAUUUCGGGACGGAGGGAGUACUUA